rnacentral:misc_RNA from 1 species
GCACCCGGUGUGCUCUAAUUAAUGUCUUCGCGGUCAAAUCAGAUCUAACCUGAACAGACCUCUGCAGAAUCGAAAAUUCCUCUCUAUGCUGUGAACCACCAUGAACCACCAUUUCCUUCAAGUAUAACACGGAGCCCAUUCUUUAGCUCUUCUAGAAACUCAUCAGGCAAACUCUGCAUCUUUUCAGAAAUAAUAUCAACUCUUUCUCUUGCUAUGUCACGAAGAGAGAUCUUAUCAGCACUAGAAACGCGGUGAAUGACGGACUGUUCAUGGCAAUCAUUUUCUGCUUUACCAUUCUCCUGGCCAUGACAGCAUCAGCUGUAGGCCAAGUUUCUCUAGAACUAGCACUCUCAGUAGGGGACUCACGGAUAUUAUCUGAGUUUGAUCUGGGUUCUUGGGCAUCAGGAGACAGGCGAGGAUCUGAAGAGACUAGCGACAGGGAUGUCUGUAGUCCUCCUGGGCGAGGUUGCUGUCGUGGAGGCAACAUUUUUGCUGAAGGCUGGUGGUGGAUGUUAGAACCAGAUGAUGUACCCAUCAACCAAUGUUGCCUAAUCAGAGAAAACCGAGUUGAGCGGAUGGAGAGACGAAGCAAUAAGGUGUACACGGAAGAAGCAGAGAGAAGAAAAAGCGAAAGUUUCGAUCAAAGAGGUAGGACUUUUACUAUUUUGCCCCUGAGAGAAGAGUUUACCCAGAAAUACCCAC